CGCAAGCCUGACGGAGCAAGACCGCGUGCGGGAUGGCGGCCUAAUGGUUGUAAACCGCUUUUCUCUGGGAAGAUGAUGACGGUACCAGAGGAAUCAGCCUCGGCUAACUCCGUGCCAGCAGCCGCGGUAAUACGGAGGAGGCAAGCGUUAUCCGGAAUUAUUGGGCGUAAAGCGUCCGUAGGUGGUUAUUCAAGUCUGCUGUCAAAGCGUGGGGCUUAACUCCAUAGAGGCAGUGGAAACUGAGUGACUAGAGUGCGGUAGGGGUCGAGGGAAUUCCCAGUGUAGCGGUGAAAUGCGUAGAUAUUGGGAAGAACACCAGUGGCGAAAGCGCUCGACUGGGCCUGCACUGACACUGAGGGACGAAAGCUAGGGGAGCG
rnacentral:rRNA from 1 species